UACGUAGGGUGCAAGCGUUGUCCGGAAUUAUUGGGCGUAAAGAGCGUGUAGGCGGCUCGAUUUAGUCCGCUGUGAAAGUCCAGGGCUCAACCCUGGAAUGCCGGUGGAUACUGUCGAGCUAGAGUCCGGAAGGGGCGAGUGGAAUUCCUGGUGUAGCGGUGAAAUGCGCAGAUAUCAGGAGGAACACCAAUAGCGAAGGCAGCUCGCUGGGACGGUACUGACGCUAAGGGCGCGAAAAGCGUGGGGGAGCGAACAGG
rnacentral:rRNA from 1 species